GAUAAGAACGUAGCGAAAUGCGAUAAGUAAUGCGAAUUGCAGAAUCCGUGAGUCAUCGAAUCUUUGAACGCACAUUGCGCCCUUUGGUAUUCCGAAGGGCAUGCCUGUUCGAGCGUCAUUAUCACCACACAAGCCCGGCUUGCUGUUGGUGGCAGCGCAGCCGGUCAACCGGCUACGCUCCACCCAAAGAUAAUGACGGCGUCUGCGAGGACUCCUGUACAUUGAGCUUUCGGGCACGUACAUGGCUAGAAGUCCAGGCGCCGGUCGACGUCCUCCGGGACACUUUUUACCAAGGUUGACCUCGGAUCAGGUAGGGAUACCCGCUGAACUUAAGCAUAUCAAUAAGCGGAGGA
rnacentral:misc_RNA from 1 species